AAAUGUAGUGGGUUAUCAGAACUUAUUAACAUUAGUGUCACUAAAGUUGGUAUUCAACUCCCCACUGCUAAAUUU
ensembl:misc_RNA Y_RNA Y RNA